rnacentral:lncRNA from 1 species
GCUGGGUGUGGUGGCGCACGCCUGUAAUCCCGGCUAUCGGGAGGCUGAGGCAGGAGAAUCACUUGAACCCAGGAGGAAGAGGUUGCAGUGAGCCAAGACUGCGCCACCACACUCCAGCCUGGGCGACAGAGCGAGACUGUCGAAAAAAGGGGUUUUGUGGGGUGUUUUAUUUUGGGGUCUUUUGAGACAGGACCCUGCUCUGUUCCCCAGGCUGAAUUGCAGUGGCAUGACCACAGUUCACUGCAGCCUCGACCUCCCAGGCUCAAGUGAUCCUCCCAC